UAGGAGACGAAUGUUAUUGCUUCGAACCUUGAAAAGUGAAUCACUUUCUCUCUCAGUUUCCUAUGGACUGUCCUUAAUGAUACUCUGAGAGUGGAUGUGACAAAUGUGACCAUGGAGUGUUGGAAAAAAGUACAGGAGGGAAGUAAGAAAGCAACCUGCAGCUGGUGGACAUAGACUGCAGUUACUUUACUGUUGACUUCUUCAUGAAGCUUCUCCAGCUCUGAGAAUGUCGACUGUUUUUCUUGGUUGUGGUCGAUGGUACCGACACCAAAGAGACCUUUAGGUUUUGAAAUUUUUGUAAGAUGAUCUACCCUGUUAGACAUCAUUCUCAAAACCUUUCUUUUUAAUUCAAACUGAAAUGAACUAAAAAGGUAAUCUACUCUGUC